GCUUCCAGAGGAAGGGUCAGGGCACCGAAGCAGGAGGGGAGGGACUCAAGCACGGCCUGUGCUCCAGAAUCCUGCCUGCUGGAAGCCUUCCCCGCCCGAGGCUGAGCAGACUUGUCAGAUGGGAAAGCCGAGGCCCGAGGACGCACAGUGAGGCCGGGCGGUGCGGGGAGGCUGCAAGCCAAGCGAAGGGCCUUAAACCAGGGCUUCGGUUUGAUCUCAGGUAGGGAUCUGGGUUCCAGAAGCCUCCAAGAGCUGCAGUUACAGGUCAGUGUCAGGUCGGCGAGCAUCCUGGGGACACUGCUGUGUCUUCCUGCACCUGCCCUGCCUGGAGCUCAGGUGUCUGGGUCUCCACAGCAGCCUGGGCGGCUGGGAUGGAAGUGGCGCAAGCCACACUCCACAAAGGGCUCCUGGGGAGCUGAGUGGCACCAGCUCUGCUGGGUCUCCAGGGAGAGGGACGGGGCCCCAAAGAUCCAUGAAGGUAGGAGCCAUCCCCAGGCAUCCUGCGGCAAAGGCCAGGGACCCUGACUUUCCUCAGCCCCAGCCCUGCUGCUGCAGCCCAUCAAUCCCCACCCAGCCCCGACCCCUACGUCCCCUCGUCAGACAGUAGUGCCACUCCCUGGGCAUCGUGUCCCCAGCCACACUCUCCCUGAGUGUCCACACAGCAGCUGCUGAAGCCGACCCCACCAGACCAUCCUGGCUUCUGGCUCCCAUUUGGCUGCAGGAUAAAGCCCAACCUCAUGUGCCUGGUGUUCCAGGCCCUCCAGCUCUGCCUCCUGUGUCUAGACUGCCCUUAAGAGGGGAGAAAGGGGGUGUCCCCAGGCAGGAGGCGGUGGCUCUAAGCCUUGUCCAGAGUGGGCGGGCCACCCAGACUGACUGAGCUGCCAGGUGGAGCAGUGUCCCAACCCUAGGUGUGCAUGUGUGAGGGGCACCUGCGAGUGCAGUGGGGGUGAGAGUGUGUGUCCAGUGAUGAUGGGCCACCCUGGGACCGUCCCACGUCCUGGAACCAGCUUUCCCUCCAACUGUCUCUUAACAAACUGACCACCUUCCAGCUCCCCCUCGGAGGACCUCAGCCGAAAUGGUGUGGCCUUGGUCAAAAUGGCCCCCGGGGCACAGAGCUGGGCCUCUGACCCGUGCGGGUGGAGUCUCAGGUCUGGCCUGACCUCUUGCCCCAAGACUGCUCCCCCUGGCUGGGGGUGGGGCCUCAGAUGUGGGCGGGGCCUCAGCAGACAGGGCCGGGGCCUCCCUUGGGGUUUUUUUUUUUAGCCCUUGCUGUCAGCCAGCUUCCUUUCCUUGGGGGCUUCUGUCUGGCCAGGCUGGGUCCUGCUGUUCUUUACCGGGGCGCCAGCCCUCUCCAUCCACGGCCACCUCUUCUCAGAUCCUGUGCCCUAAUAGUGGUGACAGUGCCAACGUGGACGAUAGGAGAGCUUCGGCCCCUGCGAUUCCCGGGCCCCUACCUUGGGAGGGUCCUCAGCAGACCUCCCACCUCUACCCAGACCUCCCACUCCGCUGCUGACACCCUGGCUCAGCCCUCUGAACCUGCCCACCCCCCAGGCCUCUUCAAAAGGACCCCUUCCCAGACACGACCUGCGCCUUCCCAGCAGCCUGUGUCAUCGCAGUCCCCGCGGCCAGGCCUCCCACCAGGCUUCUGGGGGCCAGUGAAAUGUGCCAGCAGUAGGUCGCUUCUGCCACGAGCACCAGCCACAUGGCCCAGCUCGGCUGGUAAAUGGAGGCUUCCAGAACCACAGCCAGGUCAGCAGAAUGUCUCCACCAGACAGAAUCUGCUGGCACACUUCCCUCACAGGUGGGGGAGUUGGCUUGGGGGCUGCCCGCGCUGGAAAGACGGAGGGGACUCGCACCCGCCUGAGUGAGGUCCUGCCUGUGGUGGGCGCUCCCUCUGCCUCUGUGUUGCUCUGACAGAAAGCAGCAAGUGAGCUACUGGUUUACUUGCAGCCCUACUGUGUGCUGCCAGCCCUUACCUGUGCCCGCUCUAAUUCAUAGGGCACUGAAGGCAAGACUUGGGCUCACAGCUGUGUCCCCAGACCCCAGAACUUUGUCACCCGCAAAUCAGGUGCUCAAUAAACUCUUGUU